GCUGUCUCUCUUCUCUCUCCCCGAUUCUCUCUUCCUCUCCGACCUCUUCACCUUCUUCCGGCCAUAACUCCUCCAUCCGGCGACGGAUUUUGACGUAUAAGAUGUCGUUGGAAAGCUCUCUUCCUUCUCUUCAUUUCUGGGUUCGUUUCGUAGCUUAAUAUGAACUGUGGAAGGUGAAGCAACGAGAAGAAGAGGACGGUCACUGUAGUAGUUUGUUAUUUCCGGCGAUAUCUUCCGAUUCCGGCCGUCUCCGGCCACCAAAUUGGCGUCGAAGGGUUCUUGGAGUUUUCUGGAAAUUUUUCACCGGCCAAAUUGGAGCCCUUCAAGGACGAUAUAUCGAGUUACCGCUUGACGAAGGAACUCGUUUUCGUGGUCGCCAACCAGUAUUUUUGCAGGCUAGAUUAGUUGAGGUCGGGCGUACGUGGAGUCGAGGCAUAGUCAACAGCAUUGCUUCCGCGUACUCAUUCUAUUUCUAUUUUCUUUGUUAUCUAGUGGAUUAGUAUUGCUCUGAUAACCUGUGGGAAUAAUAUUAUUUUAUUUUAUUUUUGGGUUGA